rnacentral:rRNA from 1 species
GAGAUAAUACCUGAUAGAGGAUAAAUACUGGAAGGUUUUAUUCUUCAAAGCUUCGGCACCUGAGGAUGGGACUGCGUCGGAUUAGCUUGUUGUCGGGAUAAUUACCCGACAAGGCGAUAAUCCGUACGGGUUGUGAGAGCAAUAGCCCGGAGAUGGAUUCUGAGACAUGAAUCCAGGUCCUACGGGACGCAGCAGGCGCGAAACCUUCACAAUGCCUGAAAGGGUGAUGAGGGAACUCUGAGUGACUUCGCAAUGCGAAGUCUUUUGCCAAGUGCAAAAAGCUCGGUGAAUAAGUGGUGGGCAAGACAGUUGCCAGCCGCCGCGGUAAUAACUGCGCCACGAGUGGUGAUCUCGUUUAUUGGGCUUAAAGCGUUCGUAGCCGGUUUUAUAAGCAUCUGGUGAAAUCCGAUAGUAAACUAUUGGGCUGGCUAGGUGUACUGUAAGACUAGGGACCGGUAGGGGCCGGGAGUACUCCUAGGGUAGGGGUUAAAUCCUUUAAUCCUAGGGGGACUACCAGUGGCGAAGGCGCCCGGCUAGAACGGGUCCGACGGUGAGGGACGAAAGCUGGGGGAGCGAUCCGGAUUAGAUACCCGGGUAGUCCCAGCUGUAAACGAUGCCCGCUUGGUGUGGUGAAACUUUCGUG